CCAAUCAUAAUAAGCAGACAUCAUAAUUAGGAGCUUUUCUCAAGACUUAUACUUUCAGCAU
rnacentral:sRNA from 1 species